AGGGUAGAGAAGAUCGGCCAAGGGCCCUGCCGCAACCUGAACCGCCAAGGAGGGAGGAGCAGCUCGGGGAUCGGCCUCCAAUCUGGACCAUCGACUUCAUCACCAGAGGGCCUCAAGGAGGAGCAGACCUUCCACGACCAUGGAACUCAGGAAACCUGUAAAUGUAUCACUUACGACUUUGCCCUGAAUCUAAAUUCCUUUCGACUUUGCAUGUUCUUCCCAUUUGGCAUAGAUUCGUUACGACUGGGGAUAACCCCUUCAAAUAGUAAAAACAAGGUCAUGUUAGGAACAGGAGGAGAACCUCAUCCUAACAUAAAUAAAAUGAAAAUCCGAUUAUCUUGAGAUCAGAUUAGGGGAGAGGCCCAUAAAACGGCCCUUAGGAGCCCCCAUGGCCGUGUUAAGAACAGGAGGAGAACCUCGUCCUAACAUGAGCAAAGUCAAAGGCCCGAUUCUUUUAGACCGGAUGGGGGGAGAGGCCUUACAACGCCCAAAUGUGUCCCCACAGUCAUGUCAGAAAUAGGAGGAGAACCUCGUCCUGGCAU
rnacentral:lncRNA from 1 species